GGGGGUGAAUGGGCACCUGGUGGGCCUCCUGGACUUCAAAUCCAUGGUGCGGCGCGAACAACGUCGUAGGUCGGUUCGAUUCCGAUGCACCCCCGCCA
rnacentral:tRNA from 1 species